CGUCAGCUCGUGUCGUGAGAUGUUGGGUUAAGUCCCGCAACGAGCGCAACCCUUGAUUUUAGUUGCCAGCAUUUAGUUGGGCACUCUAAAGUGACUGCCGGUGUAAGCCGGAGGAAGGUGGGGAUGACGUCAAAUCAUCAUGCCCCUUAUGACCUGGGCUACACACGUGCUACAAUGGAUAAUACAAAGGGUCGCGAAGCCGCGAGGUGGAGCCAAUCCCAUAAAAUUAUUCUCAGUUCGGAUUGCAGGCUGCAACUCGCCUGCAUGAAGCCGGAAUCGCUAGUAAUCGUAGAUCAGCAUGCUACGGUGAAUACGUUCCCGGGCCUUGUACACACCGCCCGUCACACCACGAGAGUUUGUAACACCCAAAGCCGGUUUGGUAACCUUCGGGAGCUAGCCGUCUAAGGUGGGAUAGAUAAUUGGGGUGAAGUCGUAACAAGGUAGCCGUAUCGGAAGGUGCGGCUGGAUCACCUCCUUU
rnacentral:rRNA from 1 species